UACAGGGGUGCAAACGUUGCUCGGAAUCAUUGGGCGUAAAGCGCACGUAGGCGGUUCGUUAUGUCGGAUGUGAAAGCCCUUGGCUUAACCGAGGAAGUGCAUCCGAAACUGGCGAGCUAGAGUACGAAAGAGGAUCGCGGAAUUCCCGGUGUAGAGGUGAAAUUCGUAGAUAGUCGGGAGGAACACCGGUGGCGAAGGCGGCGAUCUGGGUCGAUACUGACGCUGAGGUGCGAAAGCGUGGGGAGCAAACAGG
rnacentral:rRNA from 1 species